GUGAAGUCAGAGGUCGGAGAUUGUGUAUGACUGAAGUCGUUACAUGGUCUGCGGAGACAACAUUAUGACCAAAUCAGAUGUGACCUAAGCCGUUUCUGUGCCGAGGUUGAACCAUGGACACGUAAGUUAAUUACAGCAAAGCAGACGAGUUUGCAUAGAAAGCAGAGGAUACUGGGAAACUUGUGUGGAUUACAAAGUCAUAGUUUGAGGAGAACUGCAAAAGAAUAGGAGGUGACUCGCAAAGACAUUGAGGACAAAAUUGCGAAUGUUGUGGAUGAACUCAAGAGGACAUGGACUUUUACCGGUCUGUUAGCUUGGUACAAUCGUUACUAUGAGAAGCUGAACAUCCUUUGAUUUUGCUGCACAUGGAGUCCUUGAAAGUC